GACGAACGCUGGCGGCGUGCUUAACACAUGCCAGUCGAACGGAAAGGCCCUGCUUUUGUGGGGUGCUCGAGUGGCGAACGGGUGAGUAACACGUGAGUAACCUGCCCUGGACUUUGGGAUAACUUCAGGAAACUGGGGCUAAUACCGGAUAGGAGCUCCUGCUGCAUGGUGGGGGUUGGAAAGUUUCGGCGGUUGGGGAUGGACUCGCGGCUUAUCAGCUUGUUGGUGGGGUAGUGGCUUACCAAGGCUUUGACGGGUAGCCGGCCUGAGAGGGUGACCGGCCACAUUGGGACUAAGAUACGGCCCUGACUCCUACGGGAGGCAGCAGUGGGGAAUAUUGCACAAUGGGCGGAAGCCUGAUGAAGCAACGCCGCGUGCGGGAUGACGGCCUUCGGGUUGUAAAACGCUUUCGCCUGUGACGAAGCGUGAGUGACGGUAAUGGGUAAAGAAGCACCGGCUAACUACGUG
rnacentral:rRNA from 1 species